GGUGCUCAAAGAGUUAAUCAUAACUAUCACAAAUUGCUGUUGCUGCAUAUAUUAUCUCCAGAGAUUAAUAAGUGAAACUGAGAUACUAAGUGCACCGGAAGAAGCAUAAAUUGUUUGCGCGUAGGUGUUAAGGGUAUUCAUUUUCAUCCAACCAGCGAACAAAGAGAAUCUUGCAACUCAUCCAUUCACUACUGCGUGGCUCGCACCACAAUAUGGACUGCAGCACACAGAAGGAAUCUUCCAAUAAUAGGGCAGUGAGAGCCAAGACGGUUGGUGAGGCACGCAAAAUUUGGCUCCUCAUUCCCUAUGAGGGAAGGAUCUUGGUGCCAGUGAGGACCAAGACAACUUGUGGCAGGCAUGAACAGCAUUAGCAUAGUCACAGCAUCCAAGUAGCUGAACCCACAAGACAUCACCUCCUCCACUUCUGAGGAAACGUUUGCAGACCCCUCAAAGGACACACUGGAGAGAAGAUAUCAGAGUAAAAUGAGCCACCAAAGAGACAGGUCUUAAACACUGAAGAAGGGUCCUGACCCAAAACGUCAAGCUUUCCUGCUCCUCUGAUGCUGCUUGGCCUGCUAUAUUCAUCCAGCUUCACACCGUGUUA